rnacentral:tRNA from 1 species
AUGACCGUGUAGCUCAGUUGGUAGAGCGUCGAUCUAGUAAUUGGAAGGUCGCGGGUUCAAGACCUUGCGCUGGGUAUG